rnacentral:tRNA from 1 species
GGGCUCGUAGAUCAGGGGUAGAUCACUCCCUUGGCAUGGGAGAGGCCCCGGGUUCAAAUCCCGGCGAGUCCACUA